AGCAUAGCCGAUUUGGGAUAAGUCCCUUGGAAGAGGGCAGCAUGGAGGGUGAUACUCCCGUCUCUGCUCAGGUUGUCUGUGUGUACGAUACGCUUUCUUUGAGUCGAGUUGUUUGGGAAUACAGCUCAAAGUAGGUGGUAAAUUCCAUCUAAAGCUAAAUAUUGGUGCGAGACCGAUAGCGAACAAGUACCGUGAGGGAAAAGAUGAAAAGAACUUUGAAAAGAGAGUUAAAGAGUACCUGAAACUGUUGAAAGGGAACCGUAUCGUUUCUAGUGUAUAUCCUAUGCAUAUUUCAUUGGCGGUUGCAAAAUUGCUGGUGCCCUGUGUAUGGGUGUGACGUCAGAGUCAGUUUGAAUUGCGGGAGAUGGGUAGUGAGGAGGUGCGUCACUUUUGUGAAAGUUACAGCUCGCUAUCUAGUAGCCGUGGUUGAGACUGAGGUGCC
rnacentral:rRNA from 2 species